ensembl:snRNA U6 U6 spliceosomal RNA
GUGCUCACUUUGGCAGCACAUAUACUAAAAUUGGGACAACACAGAGAAGAUUUGCAUGGCCCCUGAGCAAGAAUGACACACAAUUUGUGAAGCAUUCCAUAUUUUU